CUCUGUAGACCUGACUGGACUUGAACUCACAGAAAUCCACUUGCUAUUGCCUCCUGAGUGCUGGGAUUAAAGGCAUGCACCACCAUGACCAGGCUGCAGUUUUGUCCUGUUGAUGGUGUCCUUUGCCUUACAGAAGAUUUUCAGUUUCAUGAGCUUGAUACAAGAUAGGGUCAUCUGGGGAGAGGGAACCUCAAUUGAGAAAAUGCCUCCAUCACAUUGGCUUACAGAGUCUUCUGUAGCCUCGGCUGGUCUCAAACUUGCUGUGCCACCAAGGAUGACAUUGAACUCCCAAUCCACCUGCCUUCACUCCCCAGAUGCUGGGAUUACAGGUGUGCUCUGACAAACCUGGAGAACAAAGCCAGGGAUUCACGUGUGCCAGACAAGCGCUCCCAGCUGUGUCCCCAGCCUCCAGUGGCCUGCUAACACACCACAUGCCUUUUCUGGAUAUCCUGAUUGGUCUUCAAAGCUUUGCAAGUGACUCCAACACAGACACAGCAAGAGCCUCUGCCUUUGGGAACGCAAGACAUGGGCCAUCAAGUCUCCCUG
rnacentral:lncRNA from 1 species